rnacentral:rRNA from 1 species
UACGGGGGGGGCAAGCGUUGUUCGGAAUUACUGGGCGUAAAGGGCUCGUAGGUGGCCAACUAAGUCAGACGUGAAAUCCCUCGGCUUAACCGGGGAACUGCGUCUGAUACUGGAUGGCUUGAGUUUGGGAGAGGGAUGCGGAAUUCCAGGUGUAGCGGUGAAAUGCGUAGAUAUCAAGAGGAACACCUGAGGUGAAGACGGGUUGCUGGGCCGACACUGACGCUGAGUGCGCGAAAGCCAGGGGAGCAAACGGG